rnacentral:rRNA from 1 species
AUGCUUCUAUAUAAACCCUCCGUCGAGCCCGAGCUUUCAGUUUUUCCCCUUUUCUCUCCUCUUUGUUCUUCCCCUCUUGCUCGAGCUCAUCCUUCAUUUUUGCAAAAUUUGUUAAGGUUUGAAGGCACUUCGAACAUCCAAGUGUUCACAAAGGUUAGCAACUUUGUCCUUUCAUUUCUCAUUGCUAGAUUAGCUCUUGCAAUGCUCUAUAAGUAUGGUGAGUUGUGGGUUUUAGUUUGGGAGUAUUUAUAUGUGGUAGUUUAUUUGAUUUAUAUGCAAUUUGAGCUCAAAUUAACUUCUUAG